CAGCCGCCGCGGUAAUACGAAGGGGGCUAGCGUUGCUCGGAAUGACUGGGCGUAAAGGGCGCGUAGGCGGCUGACACAGUCAGAUGUGAAAUUCCUGGGCUCAACCUGGGGACUGCAUUUGAGACGUGUUGGCUUGAGUGGAGAAGAGGGUCGUGGAAUUUCCAGUGUAGAGGUGAAAUUCGUAGAUAUUUGAAAGAACACCGGUGGCGAAGGCGGCGACCUGGUCUUUAACUGACGCUGAGGCGCGAAAGCGUGGGGAGCAAACAGGAUUAGAUACCCGCGUAGUCCCUGUCUCUUAUAA
rnacentral:rRNA from 1 species